GCUGGGGUGGUCUAGUGGUUAAGACGCCGGGACAGCAGUGCUCAACGGAGAUCGCCAGUUCGAACCUGGCCCUCGGCA